GAUGAACGCUGGCGGCGUGCCUAAUACAUGCAAGUCGAGCGAACAGACGAGGAGCUUGCUCCUCUGACGUUAGCGGCGGACGGGUGAGUAACACGUGGAUAACCUACCUAUAAGACUGGGAUAACUUCGGGAAACCGGAGCUAAUACCGGAUAAUAUAUUGAACCGCAUGGUUCAAUAGUGAAAGACGGUUUUGCUGUCACUUAUAGAUGGAUCCGCGCCGCAUUAGCUAGUUGGUAAGGUAACGGCUUACCAAGGCAACGAUGCGUAGCCGACCUGAGAGGGGGAUCGGCCACACUGGAACUGAGACACGGGCCAGACUCCUACGGGAGGCAGCAGUAGGGAAUCUUCCGCAAGGGGCGAAAGCCUGACGGAGCAACGCCGCGUGAGUGAUGAAGGUCUUCGGAUCGUAAAACUCUGUUAUUAGGGAAGAACAAAUGUGUAAGUAACUAUGCACGUCUUGACGGUACCUAAUCAGAAAGCCACGGCUAACUACGU
rnacentral:rRNA from 1 species